CCUACGGGUGGCAGCAGUGAGGAAUAUUGGUCAAUGGGAGAGAUCCUGAACCAGCCAAGCCGCGUGAGGGAAGACGGCCCUAUGGGUUGUAAACCUCUUUUGUCGGAGAACAAAACCCGGGACGAGUCCCGGACUGCGUGUAUCCGAAGAAAAAGCAUCGGCUAACUCCGGCCCAGCAGCCGCGGUAAUACGGAGGAUGCGAGCGUUAUCCGGAUUUAUUGGGUUAAACGGGUGCGUAGGCGGUCUGUUAAGUCAGCGGUAAAAUUGCGGGGCUCAACCCCGUCGAGCCGUUGAAACUGGCAGACUUGAGUCGGGUAGAAGUACGCGGAAUGCGAGGUGUAGCGGUGAAAUGCAUAGAUAUCGCGCAGAACUCCGAUUGCGAAGGCAGCGUACCGGCGCCAGACUGACGCUGAGGUACGAAAGCGUGGGGAUCGAACAGGAUUAGAUACCCUUGUAGUC
rnacentral:rRNA from 1 species